GCAAAACAUGGGAAUCUAGGGUAAAAAUGCCAGCAGCGACAAAAAAUACUUCAUGAUUCCUUCCAAUCUAUCUAAGACUUGGUGGGAGAGUUAUCUGGUGCUAGUGGGAGGCAGCAGGUAACUGGUAGAAUAAUCGAUGUGUAGGAAUCUAACAACAGAAAUACAACUCAAAACAAUGUGAUUACCUAGGUAACUAUGGUGAACAAGGAUUUUCCAAUCCACCUAAAUCCUAAGUUGCGCGGACUCUUCACUUUCGUUGCAGCACCCGUGUCGGAUUAUCCAAAAAUGCACUACUUUUGGAGUGUCCGAGCAACAUAGCCUAACUCCUAUGACAAAACUCUGAUGAUACUAAAGAUGAGCUAAACAUCAAGUUAAAAAUAAAAUUAGACAUUACACGAAGAAAAAAAAAAUGAAACAACAUAGAAACAUAAAUCCCCCCCGUGUCAGUGAGUACGUCUCAAUUACAACUUGUUAGGAUUGAAUAUAUGAACCCUCACAUUUAUUCUAGUCUAUUCUGGUCCAUUUCAUUCCAAAACUAAAGAAUUUGUCUUUUAAGACAAAUCUUUAGGUUCUCUAAACCUCACAAUUAUCCCUACACAUAUUUUUCAGGAAAA